GCCUGAAUAGCUCAGUGGUUGAGCGCCUGCCUUUGGCUCAGGGCGUGAUCCUGGAUUCCCUGGGUUCGAGUCCCGCAUUGGGCU
rnacentral:tRNA from 1 species